AGACUUGUAGAGUACAAUAAAUAAAAAAUGUGUACAUACAUUAAGACACUUUGUGUUAUAAUUUUCCAAAGGCUGUAAAUUAUUUUAAUUUUAUCUUUAAAUGAAUUUUAAUAAUUUAAUAAAUUAGUUUGAUAACUGAUAUUUAAAUGUGUCAAGUGCCUUAAUGCAGCAGCCUGGAAUUUAAAAAAAAAACCUCCAGCUUUGUGAUAAAAUAUUUUUUGUGAUAAAAUAGGCAUUAAAUAAUGGGAGACAAAGAUCAUCAUGUUCACUUUAGUGGAGGUAGCGGUCUUGGAUUUAAUAAUAUUAUGAUACAGCCGCAACGUCAUGGACAUUUGGAUGCACAUUUAGGAUUCUUACAACGUCACCACAGGUAUCACAUAGAAUUCUCGAUACCCUGGAACAAGUGUAUUCAUGCGGAUGACAAAUCCCAAUUACCAGCGGCGAUAGUGGAUCAUAGCAGCUCAAAAUGUACAGUGAACGAAGUAUUCCAGGAGAAAGACGACCUAAGGAUAAAGCUUGAACUGUUAGCCUACGACGAAUUUCUUAAGGAAGUUAUCAAGUUGAAGUGCUGCGAGUCCGGCACGCCGCUGAACGUCGCGGUGAAAGCACGAGUCCUCAGCAGGGACAAAGGGACCCCGGUGCUGAGGAACGGGAUCCACAGCAUCGGCAUCGAGCCCAGUGAGGACCAAGACGACGAAGAGUCUGAUUAGUUUUUGCUCUACAGAGUAACAAAAAUUUAAUUUAUUUAAAUCAAUGGGCUACUAGACAUGAAAUAUUAUUUUCAUUGUAAGGUAUCCCGGUUGGUCCGUCGACAAACUCGCAAAUAUUAAAUCCUAGAUUAACAAGAGGAUGACAAUUGCUUCUAGGAUUUCCCCAGUU